rnacentral:miRNA from 1 species
UGGUAACUCUACCACCGUUGGC